AAGUGCUGGGAUUACAGGCGUGAGCCACCGCGCCCGGCCACUGUCUUAUCUUAUAUACACCUAACACAUUCCCUAGGAAGUAGAUGUUAGCAUCAUCACCACUGUGCAUGUUAGGAGGCUGGGGAAGCCUUGAAUACAGUGACUUUUACUGGGUCCCAGAGAUGGUAAGAAAAACAAAGUUAUGUUCCAGCUGUCUCUUCUCUCCUGGAACCCAGGUUGCAUUUAGGUCUUUCCAGGGAAUUAAGGGGAAGUUGUGUUUGCAUAAUUGUGUACAAAUAAAGAGUUGACAUGGAAGAGGAGACUGAGCAAUCAGUAGCAUAGUGGGGCCUUUCGGUAUGUCUUACAGAAACAUAGGGCCCAGUAGAUGGAACCUUGAAGAGUUUAACACACUUUCUUGGUGUCAGAACCCAACAGCAGUUAAGAAACCAGGAAUCCACAUUCUUGAGACAGCUCUGUAUCCACCUCUGUUUGUGAGAGUUGCUCAAGAGAGUGAGAUGCUCUUUCAUUGUGCCCUGAAAUUUCUGAGUUUCAGCCUUACAAAGGCUCAAUGUAAAAGUCUUAUCUGAUAACACAGAUGUCAACUGAGCCCUCAUCACUGAUGUCCCUGGCUAUUGGCCGGGUGCACCUACAAAUAACACAGGGCAGCCCAGGACAGGCCCCUCCAAGCCAGCCUCUCUUGUCAACUCAUCUGGGCAGUCCCACACCACUUCUUAGUACCAUGAGUUGGAUGGGGAGCAAGAGGGAGGGCACUCUUCUUGGACUGAAGUAGAUUGUCGGGUGUUGGAACUCUUGUGUACCUGUCAUGUUCAUACCUAGGCCAUAGCUGGCAGAAUAAAAAGAAGAGGGUUGGAGAAUGAGUCUGUGUACUCAGAUGUGAAUUCCAAGACUUUAACUUGUCCUCUGGUUUCCUUCCUUCAUGGAGAUUUAUACAGAUUCUCCUUAUGUGCCUUAUCUGAAGAGCAGAAUUUCUUUUAUUUUCUUUUUUCUUUUUUCCUUUCUUCUUUUCUCUUUUCUUUUCUUUCUUUCUUUCUUCUUUCUUUCUUUUUUUUCUUUCUCUUUCUUUCUUUCCAUCUCUCUCUUUCUUUCUUUCUUUCCUUCUCUCUCUCUUUCUUUUUUAUUUAUCAUGAAGUCUCACUCUGUUACCCAGGCUGGAGUGCAGAGAAAAGCAGAAUUUCUAAUGGAGGUGUCACAUACGGUCAAAGCAAGGCAGAACACAGACUUUUCUUUGCGUGGUUUCUAGGCACAUUUACAAAGCUGCAUUCAGAUUGAUGAGGAGCUUCAUCAUUCAGUUUAAUGUGGCCAACUCCUCCCUCUUUUUGGAAAAAGAGCAGGUGCACUAAACCAGCAAACACAGCCAGCACUGGGCUGUGCUGAGAGCAGCCACAUAGGGGUCUCUACAGACAGAAACCCGAGAAGACCGGGAAAGAACCAGGACCCAGACUCAAAUAUGAAAAAUCUCUGGGCUUUGUCCUACGGCCUUCCCAUGAGUAACUCAUAGCCUUGUUCCAGUGGAAUCUGGCCUUCACUAGUCUCAGUGGCAAUUUGGUUAUGUGGAAAGUCUCUCUUCACACACUUGUGCGAAUAACGAUAAAGAAUUUUGUAUUGUUUUCACUCUACAUUAGACCAUGAGUAUUUAUGCCUGUGGCUGCAGUUUGUAUUAGUUUCCGGCCCCAGGUAUCUCCUGCAGCAUGCAGCUUCAGUCCUAUCGGACCCUCAAAACUUAAAAGCUAACACUAUUACUAGGGAGGAUUUCGCAGGAAAAUGGUGAGAGGGUUACACACAAAAAAGGUUAAACUACUCUAUGCAUGUUUCUGCAAUGUGUUAUCUCAGGAACUCAUUUCUGUAGCCCAUCAGGGCAGGAGCUGGGCUCUCACCUGUUGAUAAUAUUCCAUAAGGGAGGUUCUUCCCCACAGUGUUUAGUCUUCCAACGCUGGUACAGCCUGACAUGAUGACAUUCUACUUUCAUGUCGGUCAUGCUGCAGGGAAAAUUCUGUGAGUGUCCUAAUAGGCUGGAAUCAUUUGCUAGGGUGAACCCCAUCUUUGGUGCUCACUUUUCUGUUAUCUUGUAAUUAGCUUUAUUCUCAGCAAAUCCAUGUCUAUUUUAUUUAUCUGUUUAUUUACUUAUUUUUAUGUAUGGAAAAACACUUUUUUUUAUUUACUUAUUUAUUUAGAGACAGGGUCUCCGUCUGUUACCCAAGCUGGAGUACAGUGGUAGAGUGCUGUGAUCAUGGCUCAUUGCAGCUUCAAACUCUUGGGCUCAAAUGAUUCUCUCACCUCAGCCUCCUGUGCCACCAUGCCCUGCUAGUUGAUUUUAAUUUUUUAUAAAGAAGGAGACUCAUUAGGCAGCCCAGGCUGGUCUCAAACUCCUGGGCCCAAGCAAUUCUCUCAUCUCAGCCUCCCAAAGCACUGGGAUUAAAAACAUGAGCCACUGUACUGAGCUGUGUCUACUUCAAAAGACUGAAAAUAAAAAAUCAAUAAAUCUUUGCCAAAUUAAAAAACAAAACAAUAGUUUCCAGGUCUUAGACAAAGACAAUUCUGUGUCAUGAAGGUGGCAAAAGGCUUAUUUAGCUGUUAAAAUGAUUUGCUUAUAUUUCAAAGAAGCAGAGAAAAAAAGAUACAUAUAAAAGUUUUCCAGGCCAGGCACGGCUGUUCAUGCCUGUAAUCCCAACAUUUGGGGAGGCCAAGGCAGGAGGAUCUCUUGAAGCCAAAUGUUUGAGUCCAGUACAGGCAACAUGGUGAAAUUCUGUCACCAUAAAAAAAUAAAUAAAAUAAAUAUGGCUGGGCAUGGUGGUUCACGCUUGUAAUACCAGCACUUUGGGAGUCGGAGGCAGGUGGAUAAUGAGGUCAGGGUUCGAGACCAGCCUGGCCAAAAUGGUGAAACCCUUUCUCUCCUAAAAAUAAUAACAAUAAAAAAUCAGCCAGGCAUGGUGCUGUGCGCCUGUAAUGCCAGCUACUCAAAAGGUUGAAGCAAGAGAAUUGCUUGAACCUGGGAGGCGGAGGUUGCAUUGAGCUAAGAUCAUGCCACUACACUCUAGCCUGACCCACAGAGCAAGACACUGUCUUGAAUAAAUAAAUAAAUAAAUAAAUAAAUAAAUAAAUAAAUAAAUAAAGUUAGCCAGGCCUGGAGGUGCAUGCCUAUAGUCCUAGGUAAUUAAGAGGUUGAGGCAGGAGGACUGCUCAAACCCAAGAAGUUAAGGUUAUAGUGAGCUAUGAUUAUGCCAUUGCACUUCAGACUAAGCAAAAGAGUAAGAUUCCAUCUCAAAAAAUUACUAAAAAAAGUUCUCUAAAUUACAUUGUUUAAGAAAAGGGAAAAGAAAAAAUAUCUUUUUUAAUUUUCAAAUGGGAGGAUAGAGCCUCUCAUUUCUAAUAUGUAUUUCCUUCUGCAAAAACAUGGCCUAGGCCCAUGGUCUUGAACUACUGGACAUCUGAAUUUUAGUAGGUGCUGGAUUCAGGCAACUGAGGGGUGGCUUGGACACACUAAGUGCACGUAAAUAAAAGGUUUGAGGUGAACUAAAAGGUAAAAGAGGGGAAGGUGCUAUUAAGAACCCACAAUUGGGAGACAUUACAGGGUUGGUGGAAGGACUGGUUCAUGCUACAGAUACUGACCCAGGUGAAACUUUACUCUGACUUAUUUCUGUGUCCAUGCAGGAAGACGAGAUUAUGAUCAGGUGGCACAGAAACCUGGGAUGGUGAAAAAACCAGGUUGCCCCUGCAGAUUCGGUGUCUGAGGUAGAGCAUAUGCCAGGGGUCUUGUAGGCACGUGUGUGGGUUUUUGGUGGGAAAGUCUAUGAGGAUAGGUAGCAUGGGCCACAAUCUUUAUGCCGAAGCCCUGUGCUGGGAGGGGCUUGACCACGUCAACAUGCAGUGUGUAUGUUCAGUGGGUGAAAAACAUGUGGUGGCCUCAGGUUGGCAGGAGGGUAGAAGGCAUCUGUUCUCAGAACUUCUUCCCUCAGAGUCGUCGGUCCUUCUUACCAUGGGAGGAUGCCUGGAACCACAGGGCAGUUCAUGGUGUAGCAGCCUGUGUGCAGAGCAGAGCCUACCUUCCCCGAGACACCUGGAGUCUCUCUCCAGCAGAGGCCCCCACAUUGUCUUUCUUUUUAUGUUUUUGAUCCUAAAUGUGGAAAGUUCCCUGAAAACCCACUGAUUCUCCAACACCCAUUUGUUGCCCCAAAAUUUAAUUCUGACACAACUUAGAGUUCGCACAGACCCCACAAAUUCAGGGCUCAGUCCCACAUCACCUCUCUCACUGUAGAGGAGAGUUACACAUCCCUGAAACCCAUCUACACUUCUGAGCUACCUCCUAUAAAUCUGAGACUAGCAUAAACCCCUUUUCAAGUUAAAUAAUUUGAUAGAAUUACUAAAAAGAAAACCUCAACAAAUAACUGUAAUUAUAUUUACUACUUUAUUAUAAAAAUAUAACUCAGAAACAGCCAAAUGGAAGAGAUGUCUAGGGCAAGGAACAGUUGUGGGUGAAGGUAAUCCUGGAAAUAGCUAUAUUUAAAGAAAUUCCCCCAUUCUUUGCAUUCUCAAAGAACAGCUUAGUGAAGAGAAACGUGCUUCCCGUGAUGACUUUGAGGAUGCUCCCUGCUGUUUUUUUAACCUAUCACAAAAAUGGACACAGAUUGCAAAUUCCCAUUUUUAAAAAUGAACAACCAUUCAGUAAUUUAGUCUUCAGUGGUCAAAAUAACAUACUCUUUACAGAAACUUUGCUUGUUUCUCUUCUUCCAAACAGCCCCUGAACUUUGACUCACCCACAGCUUCAGCAAACCUACAACCCUUAUUUAUACGUAACCCUCCUAAGAACAGGCUGAGUUCAAGGUGAAACAUUAUCUUAUCUGGGAUCUCAUUUUGCUACCCUCCAUCCUGUGCUUCCUUUCCAACCUUCUUUGUAAACUUGUUUUCUCCUCCCUAUGAAAUAAGGCCUUUUUCCACCUAACCUUAGAGAUACUCAAAGAUCUAAUCAUUUGUACUUUUUCUUUGUUGCAAUACUUCUUAGGUAACUUCUUAGACCAAGUCUAGAAACAGUCUGAGGACAAUAACAAUUCCAUUCUAAAAAGAAUCUCCCAACAUUUCUUCUAUCUCUACCUCAACUGCAUCUGCCUGUGAACUUCCAGCUUACCAAGGCUCUAUAUCUUCUGGCAGUGACAAAGGCUCCUUCCAUGAUUGGUGUGAGUAGGCUUGGACACCUGCAGGGCAGACACCCAGGAAUAAUCAACUGAGCCUUCAGUGGUCCUCUUUUGCUGGGUCAAGAUAUGUAUUCAUUUCCUACCACCGUAGUGGAAGAGAUACUAUCCCUAUCUUUACAACUGAUAGCAUUUCCAACAGUAAGCUGUGAGAUUCUGCUUGAAAUCACCUCUCAAACAAAUAAAAAACAGACCUGGGAGACAUGCUACGCUCAUUCUGCUGAAGAAAUAGGCAUCAUAGCUGGGAAACGGAUUCACAAGACCCAGGCUGUUCCCUACAUAUGUUUCCUCCUCCGACAUCAGUUCAUCAGUCAAUCAAGCCAUGUGAGAGUGGAGGCCUUGUAUUCCCUAUUAUUCUUGGGCACUCUACUCCAAGUAGGAAAAGGCCAGGAGGUCCUGUUAAAGGAUGCACUCAGAGCCCGGGCUCCCUAACAUAUGAGAGUGCUAACCAGCAGGUGUAGACUUUUCAGGAGUGAAGAAUGAGGCAGGCAUUCCAAACCUGGACCUUCAUCACCUUUUGUUUCAUCUCAAGACAAUUCUGAGGGACUGUUUUGGAGCGUGUCUGGAAGGUGAACCUUGAAGAAGAGUGUGGGUUUUGAUGUGACUCAGUUGAGAUCUUUCAUGGGGAGGCAGGAAUUCAAUGCCCAGAAUCUGGGCUGGUGUCUUUGAGGUCAGUAGGUUGCGUCUUUGUAUCCAAGUCCAUUGUUACUAGGUUGGAGGCUGGAGAUUCUAAAUGGCUUCCAGACCAUCUCUCUGAUUCUCUUUGGGAGAUGGGGUCUGAAAGACAAUGUCAGUAGUUUUGGGAAAUUCUAGAAAGUGUGCUUGGAAACGUGGGAAGAGCUCUUGCCUAGUGCCUAAAUGCUCCAUUUGCAGCUCUAGCCAAGUAGAUACUUGGUAGGUAUAGAGCCGGGUUUGCGUUUAUAUUAGCAAAACCUAUGUCAGAGUUGAAGAAGUAGUCAGGAAAAAGCGUCUUGGUCGCAGGCCGGGGAACAUCUUAAAAGCAAACUUCUAGCCUGCUGACUCUUGGCAAUGAGUGUUGGAUCCUGGCUAAAGUGCCUUGAAUGCAGCAUGAGGCCAAUCCAUGAAUCCAACUUCUCAUGGAGAAAUGUUAAUAUUUUUUCAGUUUGAAUCAAUCAGGGUGAAACUACCAUGCUAUUGGUUUGCUUACUUUUUAUUAUUUCAUGUAAAAUCUAAGACAAAAUACAUUAAAUGCUUAUUGACAUAUGUAUUUAUUCUUCACCAGGCUGAUAAUAUCUGCCUAAUUUUAAACUUUCUUCCAUUUUGUAGGUUUCAACUUAUUCUAUUGUAAGAUACUGUUAAAUCUAAUAGAGGCAUUGUCACUUUUACGUAUAAUUUUAUUUUAUUUCAUAUAUUUCCUAUUGGUUUUUUACAUUUAAAUUAUGGAGCACUUCAUCAUAUAAAAAACUUCAAUUAUAUUUAAACAGUAAGUCUUUGGAUUUUUUUGCCUUUUAAUUUCCAUAUUACAUAAUAAUGAGAUAAACAUUAAUGUUUUCAGGGUACUUUAAAUUUUAGAUAAUUACUCAUUGUAUUCAUGUGAAAUUUGUUUUUACUGCAUGUGUGGGUUGGAGGACGGUUUUCACUUCUGAUUCAUCUUUACUCUUAUCUCAUCAGAGCUCAUACCUCUUGUAGUUGGGGGAUUGCAGUUUAUAAUUCCAAUAAAUGGGGCAAAUUCAAUAAUAACAUAAUACAAAUGAGUUUGAAUGCAGGACAGGUCUUCAAAGCAUACACAACAUGGGCCUACAUAUGUACAACAAUAAUAAUUUAUAAGUUACUGUUUGGAUGGAAAGUAAAAGUACAGAAAAUUUGUUAAAGGAAAUUAAAAUGGAGAUCAUGUCUCAAUAAUCUCUGAGCAGACAAAAUUAGUUAGGUCUCAUAAGUGAUCUCAACCUCGCUUGAUUUGCAAAUACAAACAAAACUUACAUUAUUUCUUGUAGCUGCAUAUUGAAAAAAGAGAAAUGAAGCUCAACCAGUCAGAAGUAGCCAACAACCUUAUAUAAAUAGAAACUGUCCAACAAGGUAAACAGACAAACAAAAAACAAUAAAAAAAGUUGUGCUACCACCAAAUGAUUUCUUUGUUUCUACAUUUUUCAAAUAAAUACUUGCUUCUUACACUGUCAAUGAAGCACUCAAUAUCUUUCCGUCUGAUAUUUUAUAAUUUAUCAAUUGCUCUUACUCAAAUAAACACUUUGCAAUUUCA